GGGUACGACGGAGCCGCAGGAUGGAGAUCGUGAUGAUCGGUCACGUUACCCCGGAGCCUGAGACACUGCCCCUGCCAGAUGCUGCGUGACCUGCGGAAAAACUGAGUAAAUCUGAAGUUAUUUCUAAAUAUUUUACAAAGGAGUCUGUGUUGGCAAGGAUGACGUCAGAACUCAUGAAUACAAGCAGCUCUUCUGAGUUAUGGGCCUUUCCCAUCAGUGGAAGAAUCUAAGUAAUGCAGCAUUACUACUGCAAUUUCCUGUUCUGUGAAGGGAGAAGGAUGUUGAUCGUGAAUUGAGUGGUGCAGAUGUGGGAUUGCUGCUUGUACGUAGUUUUAUAGCUACGGCAAUAAUGCUGUCAAUUUAUGUGGAACCUUA